AUGAAGUGGUUUCUGACUUUGCUAUGUGCAACUAGAUUUCUGAAAAUAUGUUUAAGCAGAUACACUGAUAAAAUUGAUGAAUUAGGGGGGAAGAAAAGGAUUACAGUUAUGUUGGAAGGAAGGAGGGUGAGUGAUAGGGCCAUGUAUGCUGUAACAUGGCGAAAUGAUGCUAGUGAUUUGAGGCAGCAGCUCAAAAAGUGA